CGGGGAAUAUUGGACAAUGGGGGGAACCCUGAUCCAGCGACGCCGCGUGAGUGAAGAAGUAUUUCGGUAUGUAAAGCUCUAUCAGCAGGGAAGAAAAUGACGGUACCUGACUAAGAAGCCCCGGCUAACUACGUGCCAGCAGCCGCGGUAAUACGUAGGGGGCAAGCGUUAUCCGGAUUUACUGGGUGUAAAGGGAGCGCAGACGGCGAAGCAAGUCUGAAGUGAAAUGCAUGGGCUCAACCCAUGAAUUGCUUUGGAAACUGUUUGGCUUGAGUGUCGGAGGGGUAAGCGGAAUUCCUAGUGUAGCGGUGAAAUGCGUAGAUAUUAGGAGGAACACCGGAGGCGAAGGCGGCUUACUGGACGACAACUGACGUUGAGGCUCGAAGGCGUGGGGAGCAAACAGGAUUAGAUACCCUGGUAGUCCACGCAGUAAACGAUGAAUACUUGGUGUCGGGGAGGUAAACUCUUCGGUGCCGCAAGCAAACGCAUUAAGUAUUCCACCUGGGGAGUACGUUCGCAAGAAUG
rnacentral:rRNA from 1 species